CGGGUGUAGCUUAAUGGUAAAGCCCUUGCUUCCCAAGCAAGUCACGUGGGUUCGAUUCCCAUCAUCCG
rnacentral:tRNA from 1 species